rnacentral:misc_RNA from 1 species
GGUAACCAGUAUGACUUGAGGUUGUAGUAGGAACAAUAAACUUUGAAUUCUGGAUUUGCCUCUAAUCUCCUUAACUUCAAAGAGAUAUACAAACAAAGAAGCACGAAAGAAUAUGAUGGUGCUCUAGUCUGUAUGGUGACGUUGCUCUUGAAUCACAGUAAGCUCGGCAUCAACAUCUAAGUGUUUCUACCUCUUCAUCCCUUAAAAAAAUGGUAACACCUCAGGAAAGCCUGUUUCGGAAUUAACAAGACUAUCUCAAGGGAGACUAAUCCAUCAGAUGCAGCUAGCAGGUAGUUCCUGAUUCAGAUUGUCCACUGUUCGUAAAUCAUUGUAAGAAUGUGUGAUUAGCUGCUUGUGAUCUGAAAGGAGUUACAUGGAGGAAUGGAUAGUAGUACUGUUGCACAUGCACUCUGGGACGGGGUACUUCGUAACAUCCCUUCCUCUCUUCCUGAGGUCUGGCUGACCUAAUGAAUCUUUGUGCAAGUCCAGUAUAAUUUUGUUGAACUCUGACUCAGAGAGAGAUGAGUUAAGAAAAUGUGGGAGCAUCUGUCUCUUAUUAGGAGUGAUAGUCUUUUUGUGCCCUGCAUAGGCCCUGUGUCCCUGGAUAGCAUGGCCCAUGUUUCCUCCAUGAGAUGGCAUAAACACGUCACUGUUCUCACACACUAUGUAGUCAAUAGCAGCCAUAAGUGAUGCUUUCUUUGAAAAUGUUUCAAGCUCCCCAGGCAAAGCUAGAUCCUCUUUGUUAUAGAAAUGAGGAAAUUCCUUAGUCAAUGGCUGCAAGGUUUCUUUCCCACCGAACGGAGUGCCACCAGCCCAAUAGAUCCUUGCGCCCUUUGGAGCUCCCAGAGCCUUGAUCAGCCUUGUAACUUCCAAUGCAUUCAAGGGGCAGAGACCAGCA